rnacentral:rRNA from 1 species
GGAAACUCCCUUAGAGCUGGGGAACAUCCCGAGAAAUCGGGGGUAAUACCCCAUAAGACCACGGCAUCAAAAGGAGCGCUUUAAGAUGGUCCUGCGUCCUAUCAGCUUGUUGGUGAGGUAACGGCCCACCAAGGCUAUGACGGGUAUCCGGCCUGAAAGGGUGAUCGGACACACUGGAACUGAUACACGGUCCAGACUCCUACGGGAGGCAGCAGUGGGGAAUUUUGGACAAUGGGCGAAAGCCUGAUCCAGCGACGCCGCGUGGAGGACGAAGGUCUUCGGAUUGUAAACUCCUUUUAGAGGGGACGAAUGACGGUACCCUCGGAAUAAGCCACGGCUAACUACGUGCCAGCAGCCGCGGUAAUACGUAGGUGGCGAGCGUUACUCAGAAUUACUAGGCGUAAAGCGCUUGUAGGUGGUCAGAUAAGUC